GGUGGCGGCGGUGGCGGCCCGGCUGGGCGGCGCGAGUCCGCAGAGGGCUCUCAGAAUUCGCUUCAGGACCUCGCCCCGUUUGGGGAUGUAGCGGGGGUGAGUCCCCGGCGAGGUCACCUGACCCCCUUUGGCUCCACUUGACACCAUGGAGAGAUCGCUACGGAGCUCAAAGGCGGCGGCGGCGGCGGAGGACGAGACACCAAAGCGCUAGAAUCAAAAGAGGUAGGUAUGGAAGCUCAGCUGGUUCUGCUUCACUUGCAUAUAUAUAGAGAGAAAUCGAAGCCUCGUCUCAGAUUCCUUCAAGGAGAAGUUUUGGGGAAGGCGGGAGCCGGAGGGCGGAGGAGGUGACGUCCGCGCUCGCGCGCGCGCGAACGCAGGAGAGAGAGGGGAGGCUUCUUCCAAACUUCGACGAAAUGAGAGCGAAGAGUCGACCGACGCGGAAUUUCUACGCACUUAGGCUCGGAGAGGAGGGGGGUGGAGGGGAAUUUGGGGUUAUAUGCCUCGUCCGGGUUCCGUUUUCGGUUGGAGAUGGGGGAAAGAGGGACGGAGGGACGGAAGGAG
rnacentral:lncRNA from 1 species